GUUGGCCACUCUUGUGAAGAUUUCUUCCUUUUAUUUUAAAGGAGGAGCCCAUGUUUCCAUUUCUUCUAUGACUCGUUUUACUUCUGGGUCUGAUCCUGGGUCUGAGCUCAGCUUUAUUAUAUGUAAUGCUUGUCUAAGAGAGAAGUGUUGAAAAAUAGGGCUGUUGAAGCAGUUGUUCAAAGCAAUUUUGUGUCUUACUAGAAUGGAUUGUUGGAAACUCACUCCUUAUUAAUUUCUGUCACACCCUUUAAGGCAAAGGAUUUUAAAAAGUCCAUGUGCUGUGGAGGGUUCUACUACCCCUUGAGCCAUUAUCCCUAAAGAAAAAGAUUAACUAGAAACCAUUUCUUCAUGUUUCUGAUUCCCUUUGUGCUUUUGUUAUGCUGUGCUGUUGGGAGCAAACCUGUGGGCCUUUAAGCAGGCUCGGUUACGAAAGCCCCACCCUUAAAACCUCCCUCCCAAGGGCCCCCCACCCACAAGAUGGCGAACUCCCUGCUUCUCUUCUGGGUCCUCUGCUCCCGCCGGCGCCAGCCAAGGCUCAAUCACCCCUCUGCACCUUCCCGCUGGCGCCACCUAGGGCCCAAUCACCACCUGACCCACCCCUUCCUCGCUACCUGUAUAAAUUGAGCCUGCAAACAAUAAACUGUGUCAGUUUGAUCAGAUAUCCUGUCUUGCUGUCCGUUCUUUGUGUCCCUUGCCCCUUCAUUCUCUCCUCCAGGUCGUCGACCCCCGUUGACUGUCCUGCGGGUCGGGACAACUGGCGCCCAACGUGGGGCCCAACAGACCGGAGAGGCGAGAACGUCGCCCCCAGGAGGGUGGGCCCACCGUGGGCCACCCCACCCAUGAAAGGAGGUUUCUGCAGCUAGACCCUCGCCAGAGUCGCCAUGUUCUGAACCCGGCAUGAGACAGACUCGUGUAUACUCAAUCGGCGACGCAUUUAGGAAGAAAUAUGACUCUUCCCCCUAAGACGCUUACUCCUGAUGCCAAAUUACAUUUACCUGUUAGCACUACUAUAAUCACUGACUGUGUAUGUAUUAAUUGUACUCAUGUACCCUCUUACUGUAAUUGUACAAUCAAUGUAAAAUAGUCUUCUGGAUAUAGACUUCCAAAUGGUUAAGUAUUUUUGUGUAAUAACAAAACAUAUCAAGCCCUCUCUCCACACUAUCAAGGUGUUUGUGGGGUGGGACGCAUUCUUCCUGCUCUAAUAGACCAUCCUGAAUAUAAGCACAAGAGACUUCUCCAAGCUCUGCCAUCUGACUGUGAUGAAAACUUGAAGCUUUGAGGUCCUGCUGCUGUUGCAGUUGUAGCUGCGUUCCUCCUGCCGGUUCCUGGACUUGUCGUUGGAAUGCUAGAGGAGAUAUCUAAGCUGGCCUGCGCAUAUAGCAAAACAACAAAAUUGACUGCUUCUGUAUUAUCUGAACUCCACCAAGAACUGAGAGAAUUGCGAGUUGCAGUGCCUCAGAAUCGUGCUGCUGUGGACUGUGCUGUUAAAAGAGCAUGUAAGAUGUGAACAGUUUCCAAGAAUGUGUUGUUUCAAUUUGUCUGAUUUUUCUCAAACUACCCAAAAUCAAUUAGAUGAUAUCCCCGGUCACCACAGAACCAUGUAAGUCCUAUCUUGUUUGCAGCCAAAACUACAUCUGAUAUAUUAAAUCAGAUGAAAGACAUGUGCAAAGAACCCCUGAGUAGUCUCUGGCACGCUGUCACAGCUCUUAACUCUAAGCAUUUUAUGGCUUUUGUGGCUGUUACUAGGGCCUUGUGUCCUUCGCAGCAUGUAAAAACUCAUCCAACAAGCCUUAAGAGGCCUGCAUCAUUUGAAAUUGCAGACGGCCCCCCCCCACUUGUAAAUCAUAAGAUCUAAAGUCAAGUAUGGUAGCCAAUGACGGGUAAGAUAUGGUUGAAUUGUAAAUACCAACCUAAGACAGGGAGUGGUCGACAGAGGACUAUAGCCCCAUGACGGGUAAGGAUUUACUUCAACCAUACAACCUAAGACAGGCACCUACCUUGACCCAGUCUGAGUUAGACUGGUUGUUUUAUUAAAGAGAAAAAAGAGAUGAGAUAGUCAAAGACGGGUAAGCACCCUAGAGCCUCUGGCAACCUAAGACAGGGCUUCCACAUUGGAGUGGGAGUACCAAUGACAGGUAAGAUCAGAGUCGUUGCCUUGGGGCACCUAAGACAGACACUGUCUUAUUAUAAAAUAAAAAAGGGGGAGAUGUUGGAAGCAAACCUGUGGGCCUUUAGGCAGGCUCGGUUACGAAAGCCCCACCCUUAAAACCUCCCUCCCAAGGGCCCCCACCCACAAGAUGGCAACCUCCCUGCUUCUCUUUCGGGUUCUUUGCUCCCGCCGGCGCUAACCAAGGCUCAAUCACCCCUCUGCACCUUCCCGCUGGCACCGCCUAAGGCCCAAUCACCACCUGACCCACCCCUUCCUCACUACCUGUAUAAAUUGAGCCUGCAAACAAUAAACUGUCAGCUUGAUCAGA